rnacentral:lncRNA from 1 species
CUCUUCCAUCCCUAGCCCCUCUGAACUCUCCUCCAUACGCAGCCUGGGUUUACCUCCCAGAGUCACACUGGUCCUGCUCUCCCACUCGUUUAGUAAAAACAAAACUCUAGAUUCCUGGUGUUUCCCUACCAUUGCGUUGGCUGGCAGGAUGCGGAAGGUGAAAGCCGGGCUAUUGCUGCUGAAGGCAGAGGCUGAGGUGUGUUCACGGCUGGAACUCAGAACUCAUUUCUCCAUAGAAACGAUGGUGUACUGUUAGAUAGGUUCUAGAGUGCAUUUAGAACUCCAGAUGAGGUAUGUGAGCCAAACGGACUUUUAUGAGUUCUCCUGGACACAUACCUACUCCUUUUAAGGUUGUUUCCUCAGAAAUGUGGCUUUGAGUUCCAAACAGUUGACCAUAAAUUGUCUUUGUGGAGAGGGAGCCCUGGGGGCUUAUGACUCAAUUGUUUGCUGUGAAUUCAGACAGGUGUGAGCCCCUUUGAGGGACCAGCCCACUCCACCUCUACUCCGGGACCAAGACUUCUGAGCUGUUGGGGAAACCAGGAACCCCCUUAGAAUGGUGGGUACUCAGUACGUGUUUGUGGAUUUUCUUCUACUGGAUGGAUCUCUUCUCUUGAGUCACUGCAGCUACACGUUUUGGGCUCAUGAAAGAUACAAGCUCAAGACAAAGGAGAAGAAGAAAACCUUGGAAACAGAUUUCUGGUCACAAUAAAGGAGUCUGGAAUUAUAAUUUUUAA